rnacentral:rRNA from 5 species
AACUUUUAACAACGGAUCUCUUGGCUCCAGCAUCGAUGAAGAACGCAGCGAAACGCGAUAUGUAAUGUGAAUUGCAGAAUUCAGUGAAUCAUCGAAUCUUUGAACGCACAUGGCGCCUUCCAGUAUCCUGGGAGGCAUGCCUGUCCGAGCGUCGUU